UAGCGCUGCCAGCCACUCUCUCCCGGGAUCGCCACCAAAUCCAUAUCCAUCCCCCCUCAAAUUCUCCAACGUGCCAACCACCUCUCCAUUGAUCGCCGGAAAUGUAGCCUCCAGCCCGAGGCGCUCGUGCGUGAGCAACCCAGGGGCCUCACUCGCGCGUCCUCUGCAGCGUCGUCACCGGCGACCGCACCACCAGGCCCCCUGUGCUCCGUCCCUAUGUUCAACCGCGCCAAAGCCUCGACCUCCUCCUGAGCCGGCGAGUAGAGCUGUCGGACCGCGCCAGCAGCACCACGUUGCGCUCCCUCUACUCUCUGCCUGACCAGGAGACUCACGCUAUGGAGAGACUGCAGCAGCGCCGCUGACGUCCUCGUCCAGACCACGAGCCCUAGAGGAGCUCCCAGGGAUGCCCGAGCCAUGGAGAUGAGCCGCCAUGGAAGGUUUGCCCCGCUACUGGUGCCUCCAGCCCCGUCGGAGUGCCGCUUUUGGCCCGAUCCGUUGCCUCCCGCCGUUCCUCGCGUUGCCGCAGCCCCGCCUUGGCCUGUCGAAGCCACCAACUCCUGCUGUUGUGGCGUCCUGCACCACUCAAAGCCGGCGCACUUGCGUCCCGCUCGCUCGAACGUGUGCACUCACGGGCAGCGCAGCCCUUCGAGUGGGCCAACUUCCCAGCUCCCCCAUUGGCCGAUCUGGCCCAAGAAUUCCGCAAGCGUGUCGGAAUGUGAGGAUCAUUCGAC